AGCAGCGGCGGCAGCGGCCGCGUGGUCGAAGGGAAGGGGCGCCUAGGGUUCCUCCUUCCCCAACCCCAACCAGCUCUGCAGGAACCGACGCCCCAAGCUCGCCAACGAGAUCUUGCUCUCACCGUCAACACCAGAAAAAGCUUCAACCCGAGAUGACCUUGGAGGAGCAGCGGAAAGCAAUACUUGCGCUAAAGACUGAGAAGAGAAAACUAGUUGGAUCUAAAGAAAAUUCAGUGUACAAAUGCUAAAUGUAAUGUUUGGAUCAUAUUGGGGUUUACUGAUUGGAUCAUAUGUUCAGAUCAGUACUAAACGUGGUACUGUACUUUGCAAAUGCUAGAGUGGUAUUUCCUACUUGCAAAACAAAAUUCAGUUUAGCAUGU
rnacentral:rRNA from 1 species